rnacentral:rRNA from 1 species
AUUGAACGCUGGCGGCAGGCUUAACACAUGCAAGUCGAGCGGGGUGAUGGUGCUUGCACUAUCACUUAGCGGCGGACGGGUGAGUAAUGCUUAGGAAUCUGCCUAUCAGUGGGGGACAACAUCUCGAAAGGGAUGCUAAUACCGCAUACGUCCUACGGGAGAAAGCAGGGGAUCACUUGUGACCUUGCGCUAAUAGAUGAGCCAAAGUCGGAUUAGCUAGUUGGUGGGGUAAAGGCCUACCAAGGCGACGAGCUGUAGCGGGUCUGAGAGGAUGAUCCGCCACACUGGGACUGAGACACGGCCCAGACUCCUACGGGAGGCAGCAGUGGGGAAUAUUGGACAAUGGGGGGAACCCUGAUCCAGCCAUGCCGCGUGUGUGAAGAAGGCCUUAUGGUUGUAAAGCACUUUAAGCGAGGAGGAGGCUCUUUUGGUUAAUACCCAAGAUGAGUGGACGUUACUCGCAGAAUAAGCACCGGCUAACUCUGUGCCAGCAGCCGCAGUAA